GUGGGGAAUAUUGCACAAUGGGCGCAAGCCUGAUGCAGCCAUGCCGCGUGUAUGAAGAAGGCCUUCGGGUUGUAAAGUACUUUCAGCGGGGAGGAAGGCGAUAAGGUUAAUAACCUUGUCGAUUGACGUUACCCGCAGAAGAAGCACCGGCUAACUCCGUGCCAGCAGCCGCGGUAAUACGGAGGGUGCAAGCGUUAAUCGGAAUUACUGGGCGUAAAGCGCACGCAGGCGGUCUGUCAAGUCGGAUGUGAAAUCCCCGGGCUCAACCUGGGAACUGCAUUCGAAACUGGCAGGCUAGAGUCUUGUAGAGGGGGGUAGAAUUCCAGGUGUAGCGGUGAAAUGCGUAGAGAUCUGGAGGAAUACCGGUGGCGAAGGCGGCCCCCUGGACAAAGACUGACGCUCAGGUGCGAAAGCGUGGGGAGCAAACAGGAUUAGAAACCCCAGUAGUCC
rnacentral:rRNA from 1 species